GACGAACGCUGGCGGCGUGCUUAACACAUGCAAGUCGAACGGAAAGGCCCUGCUUUUGUGGGGUGCUCGAGUGGCGAACGGGUGAGUAACACGUGAGUAACCUGCCCUUGACUUUGGGAUAACUUCAGGAAACUGGGGCUAAUACCGGAUAGGAGCUCCUGCUGCAUGGUGGGGGUUGGAAAGUUUCGGCGGUUGGGGAUGGACUCGCGGCUUAUCAGCUUGUUGGUGGGGUAGUGGCUUACCAAGGCUUUGACGGGUAGCCGGCCUGAGAGGGGGACCGGCGACCUGGGGACUGAGAGAGGCCGCAGCCGCGAAGGGGGGGAAGGGGGGGGAAGGUUGGCAAAGGGGGGGGAGGUGUGGGCCGAAGGCCCCCGGUGGGUAAAGACGGCUUCGGGGUGAAAAACCGCUUUGGCUGGAAACGAAGCGGGAGUGACGGUAAGGAAAAAAAAAGCCCCGGCUAACUACGUG
rnacentral:rRNA from 1 species